rnacentral:rRNA from 1 species
UACGUAGGGCGCAAGCGUUGUCCGGAAUUAUUGGGCGUAAAGAGCUCGUAGGCGGUUUGUCGCGUCUGCUGUGAAAACUCGAGGCUCAACCUCGGGCUUGCAGUGGGUACGGGCAGACUAGAGUGCGGUAGGGGUGACUGGAAUUCCUGGUGUAGCGGUGGAAUGCGCAGAUAUCAGGAGGAACACCGAUGGCGAAGGCAGGUCACUGGGCCGCAACUGACGCUGGAGGAGCGGAAAAGCAUG